GUAGGCCACAAAUCCUUGAUAACUCCCUCGAUUUUGUUCACUACGUCCCUCCUCAUGGCCUCUUCUUCGGGUUUUGGAGACAUGAAGUGAAAAAAGUCCAAUAUUUCUUCAUGGAGACUGACGGCAAAGGAAUGGCAGAGGCUGGACGAGGAAUCCGCCUGGUGUCCGCUGAAGCCGUAGGGCAGCAGCGGGUUGAUGCCGUGAAAGGUGUAGGCUCGAUUCAGUGGCCUCCUGCGCCCGUUUGAGUGAUGCUGGUGGUGCUUGCUCUUCACGCCGGUGGGGGUGUGACCGGCGGACUGUUGCAUGCUGCGGCAGCGCUGCUGAGCGCCGUGGAGGGGCAGCAGCCGGAGGUUGACCUCGUUCAACUCCCGCUCGCCGUAGUGGAGCGGCUGUCCCGCAUCGUCCGUCUGGCUCAGCCGGUCGAUGUGAAGCGACGAGCCGCACGGCGAGGAGCUCUCGGCCUCCGAGUCCAGGGAGGACGAGGACGGCGACAGCGAGCCCUUCCUCCUAACACUUCCUCUGUCGCCCCCGCCGUCUAGCUGUCUCGACGGCUUCUCGAACACGGCACUCGGAGAUGUACGUCUUCUGUGGUCGCCCUGGCAGUUCGGAGAGUUGCCGCUUGGCGGAAAGCUGAGCUGCUGGUGGUGGUGGUUGUCCACGGAGUUAAGUCCAAAUCCCCGGGGGGGUUCCCAGUGCAUCCACUGUCCCCUCUGCUCUGGCUGGAUCCAAGUGGUCCUGGGGUCCAUUGGGCUUGACUUUGUAGAGCUUCUUCACCACCCGGACAAAAACAAAAAAAUGGCAGAAACGGAACAAGUCCAGCUUUUUUGCGUUCAGGUGGAAACCAGGGCGACAAUUUACUUAUCUCCGAAGUGCUUCAUGUCAGGAGACGGCUGCCGUUAACCAGAGCAGCUGGAAAACUCCACUCCCUGUUGAAGACGGCCAAUAUGGCGCAGCCAACUGCCCGG